UGGGGGAUAUUGCGCAAUGGGGGAAACCCUGACGCAGCAACGCCGCGUGAAGGAAGAAGGUCUUCGGAUUGUAAACUUCUUUUGUCAGGGACGAAGAAAGUGACGGUACCUGACGAAUAAGCUCCGGCUAACUACGUGCCAGCAGCCGCGGUAAUACGUAGGGAGCGAGCGUUGUCCGGAUUUACUGGGUGUAAAGGGUGCGUAGGCGGCCGAGCAAGUCAGUUGUGAAAACUAUGGGCUUAACCCAUAACGUGCAAUUGAAACUGUCCGGCUUGAGUGAAGUAGAGGUAGGCGGAAUUCCCGGUGUAGCGGUGAAAUGCGUAGAGAUCGGGAGGAACACCAGUGGCGAAGGCGGCCUACUGGGCUUUAACUGACGCUGAGGCACGAAAGCAUGGGUAGCAAACAGGAUUAGAUACCCUGGUAGUCCAUGCCGUAAACGAUGAUUACUAGGUGUGGGGGGACUGACCCCUUCCGUACCGCAGUUAACACAAUAAGUAAUCCACCUGGGGAGUACGGCCGCAAGGUUGAAACUCAAAGGAAUUGACGGGGGCCCGCACAAGCAGUGGAGUAUGUGGUUUAAUUCGAAGCAACGCGAAGAACCUUACCAGGUCUUGACAUCCUGAGAAUCCUUAAGAGAUUAGGGAGUGCCUUCGGGAACUCAGAGACAGGUGGUGCAUGGUUGUCGUCAGCUCGUGUCGUGAGAUGUUGGGUUAAGUCCCGCAACGAGCGCAACCCUUAUGGUCAGUUACUACGCAAGAGGACUCUGGCCAGACUGCCGUUGACAAAACGGAGGAAGGUGGGGAUGACGUCAAAUCAUCAUGCCCUUUAUGACUUGGGCUACACACGUACUACAAUGGCGUUAAACAAAGAGAAGCAAGACCGCGAGGUGGAGCAAAACUCAGAAACAACGUCCCAGUUCGGACUGCAGGCUGCAACUCGCCUGCACGAAGUCGGAAUUGCUAGUAAUCGUGGAUCAGCAUGCCACGGUGAAUACGUUCCC
rnacentral:rRNA from 1 species